UCAAGCGAAGUAAGUGCAUGCGGUGGAUGCCUUGGCGAUCACAGGCGAAGAAGGACGUGCGAGCCUGCGAAAAGCCCGGGGGAGCUGGCAACGAAGCAUUGAUCCCGGGAUGUCCGAAUGGGGAAACCCACCCCUUCACAGAGCGCUUUCGGCGGGCGCAGCCCGUCAAAACCCCUCUACUGCGGCAAGCGGGGCGAGGGCGAGAAAACGCUGUGUGAAGGGGUAUCCCUGGCUGAAUCCAUAGGCCAGAGGAGGCGAACCCGGCGAACUGAACCAUCUCAGUAGCCGGAGGAAAAGAAAUCAACCGAGAUUCCCCAAGUAGUGGCGAGCGAACGGGGAGUAGCCUGCACGACCAACCCAACGGCUCAGCAGAACGGCUCUGGAAAGACCGGCCACAGCGGGUGAUAGCCCCGUAUGCGAAAAGCCGUCGGGGGGUCUAAGCGUGCGACAAGUAGGGCGGGGCACGAGAAACCCUGUUCGAAGAUGGGGGGACCAUCCUCCAAGGCUAAAUACUCGUGAUCGACCGAUAGUGAACCAGUACCGUGAGGGAAAGGCGAAAAGAACCCCGGCGAGGGGAGUGAAAUAGAACCUGAAACCGCAUGCAUACAAACAGUGGGAGCUCCUUUAAGGAGUGACUGCGUACCUUUUGUAUAAUGGGUCAGCGACUUACGUUGCGUGGCGAGCUUAACCGAAUAGGGGAGGCGAAGCGAAAGCGAGUCCGAAUAGGGCGAAUGAGUCGCGCGGCGUAGACCCGAAACCGGGUGAUCUAUCCAUGGCCAGGGUGAAGGCACCCUAACCGGUGCUGGAGGCCCGAACCCACUACUGUUGCAAAAGUAGGGGAUGAGCUGUGGAUAGGGGUGAAAGGCUAAACAAACCCGGAAAUAGCUGGUUCUCCCCGAAAGCUAUUGAGGUAGCGCGUCGCAUGGACACUUGCGGGGGUAGAGCACUGUCAUCGUUGGGGGGGUCAUUGCGAUCUACCCCGCGAUAGCAAACUCCGAAUACCGCAAAGUGAUGUGCGGCAGACAGACACCGGGUGCUAACGUCCGGUGUCAAGAGGGAAACAACCCAGACCGCCAGCUAAGGCCCCCAAUGCGUGGCUAAGUGGGAAACGAAGUGGGAAGGCGAAGACAGCUAGGAGGUUGGCUUAGAAGCAGCCACCCUUUAAAGAAAGCGUAAUAGCUCACUAGUCGAGUCGUCCUGCGCGGAAGAUGUAACGGGGCUCAAGCCACGAGCCGAAGCUGCGGAUGCGUGCCUCUCGAGGCACGCGUGGUAGGGGAGCGUUCGGUAAGCCUGCGAAGGUGGCCCGAGAGGGCUGCUGGAGGUAUCCGAAGUGCGAAUGCUGACAUGAGUAGCGAUAAAACGGGUGAAAAGCCCGUUCGCCGAAAGCCCAAGGGUUCCGACGCAACGUUCAUCGGCGUCGGGUCAGUCGGCCCCUAAGGCGAGGCCGAAAGGCGUAGUCGAUGGGAAACGGGUCAACAUUCCCGUACCGUCGUGCAAUGCGAUGGGGGGACGAAGAAGGCUAAGUGGGUCGGGUGUUGGACGUCCCGAUUCAAGCCCGUAGCCUGGCGCGGUAGGCAAAUCCGCCGCGCUAGAGGUGAGAGGUGAUGACGAGGGCAGCCCACGGGCCGCCCAAGCCACCGAGGCCCCGCUUCCAGGAAAAGCCCCUAAGCUUCAGUUGCACGAUGACCGUACCGCAAACCGACACAGGUGGGCUGGUGUCAAAGCACCAAGGCGCUUGAGAGAACCCAGGAGAAGGAACUCGGCAAAUUGACACCGUAACUUCGGGAGAAGGUGUGCCCCAAGUAGGUGAGUCUGCACGCCAGACGAGCCCAACGGGGUCGCAGAGAAUCGGGGGCUGCGACUGUUUAUUAAAAACACAGCACUCUGCCAAGACGAAAGUCGACGUAUAGGGUGUGACGCCUGCCCGGUGCCGGAAGGUUAAGUGAUGGGGUGCAAGCUCCUGAUCGAAGCCCCGGUAAACGGCGGCCGUAACUAUAACGGUCCUAAGGUAGCGAAAUUCCUUGUCGGGUAAGUUCCGACCUGCACGAAUGGCGUAACGAUGGCCCCACUGUCUCCUCCUGGGACUCAGCGAAAUUGAAAUGGUUGUGAAGAUGCAAUCUCCCCGCGGCUAGACGGAAAGACCCCAUGAACCUUUACUGCAGCUUUGCAUUGGACUUUGAUGUGGCCUGUGUAGGAUAGGUGGGAGGCUGAGAAGCCGAGGCGCCAGCUUCGGUGGAGCCGCCCUUGAAAUACCACCCUGGUCACCUCGAGGUUCUAACCGCGCACCGUACAUCCGGUGCCGGGACCGUGCAUGGCAGGCAGUUUGACUGGGGCGGUCUCCUCCCAAAAGGUAACGGAGGAGCACGAAGGUACGCUUGGCACGGUCGGAAAUCGUGCUGUAUGUGCAAGGGCAUAAGCGUGCUUGACUGUGAGGCCCACAAGCCGAACAGGUGCGAAAGCAGGUCCUAGUGAUCCGGUGGUUCUGUAUGGAAGGGCCAUCGCUCAACGGAUAAAAGGUACUCUGGGGAUAACAGGCUGAUACCGCCCAAGAGUUCACAUCGACGGCGGUGUUUGGCACCUCGAUGUCGGCUCAUCUCAUCCUGGGGCUGUAGUCGGUCCCAAGGGUAUGGCUGUUCGCCAAUUAAAGCGGUACGUGAGCUGGGUUUAGAACGUCGUGAGACAGUUUGGUCCCUAUCUGCCGUGGGCGCUGGAAGUUUGAGGGGAUCUGCUCCUAGUACGAGAGGACCGGAGUGGACGCACCUCUGGUGUACCGGUUGUCACGCCAGUGGCACCGCCGGGUAGCUAUGUGCGGAAGGAAUAACCGCUGAAAGCAUCUAAGCGGGAAAUCCCCCCCAAGAUGAGACUUCCCCGGGGGCUCGACCCCCCUGAAGGGCCGUGGAAGACCACCACGUCGAUAGGGCGCAGGUGUAAGGCGGGUAACCGCUUGAGCUGAGCGCUACUAAUUGCCCGUGCGGCUUGAUCCU
rnacentral:rRNA from 1 species